GACGAACGCUGGCGGCGUGCCUAAUACAUGCAAGUCGAACGCAGUGGGGACGCGUGAGUAACACGUGGGUAACCUCCCCCUCAGAGGGGAUAACACUUGGAAACAGGUGCUAAACCGCUACGGAUGGAUGGACCCUCGGUGCAUUAGCUAGGUGGUGAGGUAACGGCUCACCAAGGCCACGAUGCCUAGCCGACCUGAGGGGGUGAUCGGCCACACGGGGACUGAGACACGGCCGAGACUCCUACGGGAGGCAGCAGGAGGGAAUCUUCGGCAAGGGACGAAAGUCUGACCGAGCAACGCCGCGUGAGUGAAGAAGGUUUGCGGAUCGUAAAACUCUGUUGUUAGAGAAGCGGUAUCUAACCAGAAAGCCACGGCUAACUACGUGCCAGCAGCCGCGGUAAUUC
rnacentral:rRNA from 1 species